CUACCUGCAGCCUCGGCUAUGCCUGACGAAGUGGCACUUCAAGAUGCUACGUCAUCUCCGGCAGUCGUCUGUGCGGGCUUUCGAAGGGCGCGAGACGAUGGUAUAUUCAGCCGCACCGAAGACCACACGACGUGUAGGACUGGCUGUCCUACUACGAACGAGUGCCCAAAACCAUCAAGUUAUGAUGAAUGGGGGCCACAUCAUGACGAUCCACAACUGUGGCAGAAGUGGCCAUACUGUUGCUAACGCAAUAAAAUGUUAUAUGAACUCCA